GCAUUAAUGGGGUAGUGGUAACCUGGGUCGUUGCCAUCGAAGUGUUAACACUUGAUACUCGACCCGCCGGGAGUUCGAUUCUCUCUUAAUGCA